UCACUAAGCGGAGGAAGAGAAACUAACAAAGGAUUCCCUUUAGUAACGGCGAGUGAACAGGGAAGAGCCCAGCACCGAAGCCUGUGGUCAUUUGAUCACCAGGCAAUGUGGUGUUCAGGUCGUUCCGCGGAGGCACUGCUCCACCCUAAGUCCAAUAAUGAGAACGGUUUCUCGGACAUGGCCCAUGGAGGGUGAAAGGCCCGUGGGGGUGGAGAUCAGGUUGGCCAGUGCUGCUCUGGGGAGACCUUGGAGUCGGGUUGUUUGUGAAUGCAGCCCAAAGCGGGUGGUAGACUCCAUCCAAGGCUAAAUACAACACGAGUCCGAUAGCGAACAAGUACCGUGAGGGAAAGUUGAAAAGUACUCUGAAGAGAGAGUAAACAGUGCGUGAAGCCGUUCAGAGGUAAACAGAUAGAGUUGAACUGUGAGUUCCGAUGGUUCAGCUGGUGACUUUGGUUGAGCUUGGUCAAAAUGGUUGGGCUUUGAGGUCUGUGUAGCAACAGGUUCUUGCCUUCGGGUGAGAAUGCGCGAUGCACUCGUCGAGUGUUGUGCGCCUCAGAUGUCCCGAGCCGAGUCGCCAGUGCAUUCCGUCGGGACGGUCACCACGACCGGCACUAUCGUCUGUCUUUUGUGGUUAAACCGUGCGUGCUUCGUCCUUGUGGCUUUGUGCGUGCGGGAUGGCAGGUAGCUCAUUGGUUUGUUUACAAGCCUUUGGGUGAAAUAGCUGACUGCAAUUUGACUGUGCGUUGUGCCGGGGACGGCGGCUUGAGGUGUGUGCGUGUGUGCUAGUUUGCUGGCGUAUCCGUGUCAGGUUGCUCAGUUGCUCACCUAGUGGGCCAAGCGGCGACUGGGAUGCGUUCGGCGAGCGGUCGCGCUCGAGACACCGUUGAAG
rnacentral:rRNA from 1 species